ACUACUCACGCAUUUCCAACGUUCACCAUCCAUCAUUCAUGUUCACGGAUUUUCUCAUCAGCAUCACUCUGGCAUCAGAUUUACACGAAUUGUUAAAAACUUAUUUCGGGAGCUCAAAUAACUUCUAAUUUCUUGUUCUAUUAGAUAAAUUCACUCAAAACCGAAGAAAUGGCCCGUGGACAUCAGAAAAUCCAGUCCCAGCAGAAGGCUCAGGAAAAGGCUGCCAAGAUGAAGAAACAGCAAGGUCACGGACUGAGCGACCAGAUGAAAGCUGCCCAGAAGGCCCUGGUGUUCUCCUGUGCGGUGUGUAAAUCCCAAAUGCCAGACCCCAAAACGUACAAACAGCACUUCGAAAACAAACAUCCCAAAUCGGAACUGCCGGCCGAGUUGAAGGAAAUUUAACCGGAAUCCGGAAUCGUAACGGGGACGAAGUCUGGAAGCGGACGGUCGAUACGACAGUCGCAAGAUGAAGAUGAAUGGUGGCGGAGAGAGAUACCGAGACAUACAACCACACAACAAAAAAGGAACAGAUGCUGAUUCGAGAUAAAUAAUGAUUCCACAAGAUUUUCUUUUGCCUAUAAUUUUUACUUUAGGAGUUUGCAAUAAUUUGUAUGUACACAUGUAGAUAAUUCCAACUGAAGCUUGGCGAGAUUUAGAAUAAUAAUGGGUCGUAGAGAAAUGUAGGAUUUUGUGGCUGCUGAAUUCCAUUUCAGAUCUGGCUCAGACAUUUUUCAGUUGGAAGAGUAUUCAAUAAAUUUUAUAAUUGCAAACCAA